AUCCCGUUCUAAAAUUGCGGUCUCGCAGUGCCGGUGCUCUGCCUUCUUGAAAGUGCGUUUCUUGGAGAAACACUAUUGACGCCCUGUAGUGUUUCAGAUCCCGCAGAAGUCUUGUGCGUUUCUCUCUGACGUUUAAGCCGUGUACAUUAUAUGAGAGAAUGGUUAGGUCUUCCCUGGCGUAACCGCCAGGACCUGGGUCCGGCAUCCUCCGGACGGCCACAGGGGUGGGUGAGUCUGUUGCGUGGUUCGGUUGGGAAGUGUGUGAGUGUGUGGUGGUGUGUUGCUGAGUGUGUAGUUGGUGUUGCGUCUAUUCACGACACCUAUAUGGCCUCUGUAUUACAGUAGGGUAAUGGACAAUCGUCCCAGGUAUUCGACCGCGUAGCCCGGCCUGCGAGAGGGGGCUGGUCUAUUCCGGGAGUAGUGUAUCCCCUGAUAGGUGGGGAUCCCUAUGUCUUAUGCCUGUGGGGGAAUCGGGCUUACCGUCUGCGACGGCUCAGUCCGCUUCUGAGUUCCUAGAAGGUCUACGUGUAUGUAUUAGUACUGUGCGCAGUCCUUAGUCUGUCUCCUGGGUGGCUAUUUACUCGGAGCGCCCGCUCCGUUUCUUAGUUUGUCGAUUAUGGGUUCGAUUAUGAGUGUGUGUCUCGUCUGUUUGCAUCUGAGCUGUUACUUUUUGUCCGUCAUCUGCUCACGUGUGUGUUUUGGAUUGUUUGGAGCCAGCUUGGAAUGGGUCUCGCUAUUUCGCGAGGUGGGGACGCUGUGGUAUGGGGUGCCUCGUGGGUCGAAUCGGGCCUGUGGGGUUCCUUUGUUCGGGUUAGUCCUUUGUUUUGGGUGGAGCUUUGAGUCUCUGGUCUAAGGUUUGUCUGCCGUCUCCGCACUGUCUAGGGCCGCGGUGGGUGUUGGUGAUGUCUGGGGGAGGGCACCUCCGUCGUCUAGUCGCCUGUAGUAACUAUUUCGUCGUCAUUUAUUAGCCUUGGACAGGUCCUAAGACCUGAGUGGCUCUGGAUCCGCCUGGAGGCUGGCUCGAG